AAACAAGCCAACAAACACAAACUUGUUUCGUGUUCAGGUGUUUUGGAAAACCCCUCCCCUUCGGCUUCUUCUCCAACGACUGCGCCUUCUCGUGGAUUCCGCUGCCGCCCUACGUUCGACGCGCCUCGCCGUCGCCGUCGCCGUCGCCGUCGCCACCCCUCGUCUCAACGUCGGAACCCUAGCCGUCGCCGAAUCAGUCGAUCGUCGCCGUCCAGGUCUCCAUCUCUCGUCUCAACGCCGGAACCCUAGCCGCCGCCGAUUCCUAUUGUUUUAGUGGGAAAACGCUGGAGCUGUGGCUUUCGGUUUUUCCUCGGAGUCGGGAGAAAUUCUGCCGCGACUUCUCGCGCGCGCGUUUACAUGACGGCUUGACGAUCCAGGGUCUUUAAAUUCGUCGGCAGGCGUCGGUCAAAUCGGGAAGCUCGCGACAAAGACGGGUGGAGUUUAGACGCCCAGGAAAAAGAAGCAAGAAAGGAAAGCUCUGUUCACGAACCCGGAAGAAACAGAGGGUCGGACUUGGAGCUCUUCUCGUUCUUGGUUAUGAAGCACCAAAACUGAGGUAAGCUGUCGUCAAAUCCCAUCCCACUGGCUGGAAUUAGAGAACAAUCCCUCUCCAUAACUCCAGUUGGUCACCUUAGUCUUGAGUCUUGACCAGUAUGUUUGUUCUUGUCCAUGAUCGCAUUUAUGCGCGCUUGUGUAACAUAUCUAGCUACGUUUACUGAAAGCGACUUUGCUCAUAUUGGGUUUCAUUGUCUUUCUGAGCAGAGACCAGCGACACACUUAAACUCCGUCUCAAGGACAUUGGGUCAGAACUUUCUUGGCCUAUUGGUAGAAUUAAAGAAGCACUUUCAGAAUUAAAUGGUUUAA